rnacentral:rRNA from 1 species
UAAUACGGAGGGUGCAAGCGUUGUCCGGAUUUAUUGGGUUUAAAGGGUGCGUAGGCGGUCUGAUAAGUCAGUGGUGAAAGUCUUCGGCUCAACCGGAGGAUUGCCAUUGAAACUAUCAGACUUGAGUACAGUAGAGGUAGGCGGAAUUUAUGGUGUAGCGGUGAAAUGCAUAGAUACCAUAAAGAACACCGAUAGCGAAGGCAGCUUACUAUGCUGGUACAGACGCUGAGGCACGAAAGCGUGGGGAGCGAACAGGAUUAGAUACCCUGGUAGUCCACGCCGUAAACGAUGCUCACUCGAUGUUGGCGAUACACAGUCAGCGUCCAAGCGAAAGCGUUAAGUGAGCCACCUGGGGAGUACGCUGGCAACAGUG